GGAGAGCUUCCAUGCCAUAGUAGAUAUGGCUAGGAAAAUGGAGGCCAGUGCCAUCAUUCAGGGGACAGUUAAGCAGACAGUGGCACAGCCUUCUGGUUCUAAAACUCCGGGUGGGGGAAGAUUAGAUCCUUCUACCCUGAGUGCAGCAGCUUCAGGCAGUAAGAGAUGGGGUAAACCCAAGGGUAAAAAGAAUAAGUUCUGGAGUAAAGUCAAGUCCAGUCUGGGAUUUGGGAGUGGCUCAAGCUCUGGUGCGGAUAAUGCAGUUUGUGCAAGGUGUGGUAGGCCACACAAGGGAGUAUGUCGGCUUGGGACAAACGCCUGUUUCAGAUGUGGUCAGGAGGGGCAUAUGGCUCGAGAAUGUCCAAGAGCAGU
rnacentral:lncRNA from 1 species